rnacentral:rRNA from 1 species
GACGAACGCUGGCGGCGUGCUUAACACAUGCCAGUCGAACGGAAAGGCCCUGCUUUUGUGGGGUGCUCGAGUGGCGAACGGGUGAGUAACACGUGAGUAACCUGCCCUUGACUUUGGGAUAACUUAAGGAAACUGGGCUAAAUACCGGAAAGGCGUUCCGCCUGCUGGGUGGGGGUUGGAAAGUUUCGGCGGUUGGGGAUGGACUCGCGGCUUAUCAGCUUGUUGGUGGGGUAGUGGCUUACCAAGGCUUUGACGGGUAGCCGGCCUGAGAGGGUGACCGGCCACAUUGGGACUGAGAUACGGCCCAGACUCCUACGGGAGGCAGCAGUGGGGAAUAUUGCACAAUGGGCGGAAGCCUGAUGCAGCAACGCCGCGUGCGGGAUGACGGCCUUCGGGUUGUAAACCGCUUUCGCCUGUGACGAAGCGUGAGUGACGGUAAUGGGUAAAGAAGCACCGGCUAACUACGUG